GUUCUACCUUAUUAAUUAUUCAAGUAAUUAACACAGCUGGUGUUCUUAGAGCCAGGCUGAGUAUAGAAUCAAUGAAUCUUAGAACUGGUGGAAUACUCGCAGAAAGUGCGUGGGCCCUGCAGUUAACUGUUUUGGAUCUGAAAACCAGCUCUCUCACUUAUCGCUGUGUGACUUUGAGUGAGUUAUUCAGCCUCAUAGAGCCGUGAUUCCAUCUAUUGGACCAAUACCCACCUCAGUUGGCUGCAGUGGGGAUUCACAGUAAUAAUAUAUUCAGUGGUAGGCAGAAUGACUGUUCCUUAGGAGGUAAUAAUGCAACAGUAACAAACAGCCUGCUAACAGUUACCGUUCUAAGCAUGCUACCUAAGUUGGCUCGCUUACUCCUCUCAACAUCCUCAUGAGCAAGACAGAACUGCUGUGGCUGUUUUACAGAUGGAGAAACUGAGACACAGAAAGCUGAAUUUCUUUAUUCAUGAUCGUGAAGAUAUGAAUUGGACAAGCUGGAUUUGAACCCAGAAUCCACGCAUUUAACCACAAUGCCUCUGGAUACAUUUCCUUCUUUCUUUAAAAACCAAGGAGAGGGUUGACCAACAAUCUCAAAAAUUCAGUCAUCUUGAAGCAGCCUGUGCUGCGACAGAUGAAGUGUACAAAUAGGAUGCUGAUGAAGACAUGGAAAUUACCACGAUUGCUGUGUGGGCCAAGGAAAACCAUGACUCUGCUCUAAGUCCUGUUGUCUCGUUAUCUCACACACUGGCCGAUUUCUUCUCAAAAGACUUGUGGGCAAGUAGCGGCGGUAAAGUUCAUCAUUUAUCGGCUGGCAAAUCAGCUGAGCAUGACUCGGUUAUCUGAUUCUCUAUUUCAGAGGACUUAUGGGUUAUGUUCUCAGAAGGGCAUGACAAUUCAUCAGGAAGAGGAGUGAGCGAUGGUUCCCAGAAAAUGCCUUGCUUGUCAUCUUGAGGUUUCCAUAUCAAUGGAGCCAAAUGUUAGCCCCUGCGGUCUUAAAUAGCAAGAAGGAUUGUGGCCCUUUGGGGGAAAGAAAUAGGCUCUUUGUAAUUUUUAAAGUGUGUUGAUGUGAAAUCAAAUGAUGAUAGCCCAGAUCAUUUUAACAAUUAGGUAUCUCAGUUGGGAAUGUUUGCAGCAAGUGCAGAGUCUUCGAUGUGCAUUAGCGGACAAAUGCCCAGCUUCCUUGUAAGCUGACCCCAUCAUUCCAAAUGUCUUCUCUACGUUUUGUUUAGUGGUUAGUCAUGUAAGAGCUUUUCCUGCUUCCCAAACCAGUUGGUAUAUGUGGAACAACUCUGUUGAUUAAAUAUUUUACUUAAUUUUUUUGUAGAACCACAAAAUUACUCAAGGCUUUGAAGACCUGACGAUGAGCCUACUGGCCCAGCUAAUUUGUUGAUUUGGUUGUAAAAUUAAGCUCACUAAGGAAUGAACAGAGAUAUCAUCAGACACGGAGUUCUGUCUCUUUUUUCCUCAGGAAGUCAAUCUUAGGCAAAAAUGUGAAGGAGGCAGAGUUUUCCUCUACACACGGCCACCUCCAAGCUCCCAAAAUUAUUGUUCCCUUUUCUCUCCUCCUCAUAGCUUCCUCCCUGCAAGUGCUUGCAUGCUUCCGGAUUCCUGUUAGUUAACACGAAUAAGAUAACGCUCUCUUUCGGUACAAUGUGAUACUUUAUUUUUUAAAAUUAUACUAAUGCUUAACUCAAAGCAAUAAGUAUCUAACAGCAGCAUCUCACACGUUCAUAACAAGACAGUGGUGAUAAAAUUUCUUAGUAGGACCCUCCCAAGGAUCUCUCACCUCAUACCAAUGGGCAGCCACCUCCUCACUUCCUCUCCCGACAUGCACGCAGCCAUUGGUUAUCAGUUCACUCUCCAUUACGUGAUUUGGGGGAUGCAUAAUAAGAGAGAUUAGUGCCUGCAGUAAACAAUGCUUUCUGAAAUCUUCCCCAAAAUUAACAGACAGUAGAAAUGCAACUCACCAUUCCCUGCCAGAAGAUACAGAGGGAUCUGUGAGAGAAUCUGCCCCCACCUCCACACACACAGACUUUAUGAAAGAUUAAUGGAAACAGAGAAUACUGAUGGAUAAAGGCAGCAAAUGAGCAGAAACAUCCUUGUCUUUUACUUCCUUAUCAAGAUCAGUGCCUAAACAAUGGCUAGCCCAUAGUAGUCACUCAAUCAAUAUUUGUUGAAUGACUGAAAAAUUGACUAAUUUAUCAAGUAUUUGGAAGCAGUCUGAAGACACUAUUUUUCAUUCUGGGUGCCUUGUCAGUUAAGGCCUAAAGAAAUUCUUGUUCAAAAAGUUCAAGUAUCAAGAGCUGAUAAUGAUUUCUCCCGUACAUUGCUUCAAGUGCCACAUCCAUCCUUAUUUCCCUAUCUGAAAAAAAAAAAUUUUAAGUAUAACCUUACCCAAGAGAGAUGAAAACUUAUAUCCACACAAAAGUCUGUACCCAAACGUUUAUAGUGGCUUUAUUUGUAUUCACCAAAAACAAGAAACAAUCCAAAUGUCGCUCAUAUGCAGAAGGGGUGAACUAACAGAGGUACUUUAGUACAAUGGAACACUACUCAGCCAUAAAAAGGAGCACAGUCCUAAUUCAGGCAACAACACGGAUGAACUCAAGAGCGUUAGGCUAAGUGAAAGAAAUCAGAGUUAAAAGGCUGCAUAGUAUAUGAUUCCAUUUAUAUGACAUUCCUGCCAAGACAAAAUGAUAGGGCCAGCAUUGCCUCUGGUUGUGGGUGGGAAGAAGGAUUGAUUAGAGAGUGAGAGGAAGAAUGGGUGGGUUGGUGGAUCUGUUUCAUAUCUUGAUUGUCAUGGUGGUUACUCAACUGUAUACAUUUGUGAAAGCUCAUGUAGGAGCAUGCACAAAAAAGGGUGAAUUGUAUUGUAUGUAAAUGAUACCUUCAUUUUUUAAAAAUGAAGGGAAAAGUAUAAUAAUACUCUGCAGCCCAGUAAGGUAGAUAGAUAUUUUACAGAUAUUCAGUUUUUGGUCUUGCUAAAAUGUUGCUAACAUUGUGAAGACUUCUGAAUCUCCUAAUAUUCUAAUACCAUGAUUGUACCUUUUGCCUGGCAAGAGUGUUAUAAGGAUAAAUUAGUUAAUGUAUGCAAAGACCUUUGAAGAUGAAAAGCACCAGGCGAGUUCUAGAGUGCCGAUGUUAAUGCUCAGACUGGACUGAAGGUGAAAGCAUUUUCAAAGCCAGUAGGUGGGCAGGUUUUCUAUCCCGCUGUGUUGAUUUUUCAGCUGGCUCCUACACAGCGAUUACACGGCUUUGCAUCUUUGUACUGAAGCGUGGACCACUUGACAGAAGAAAGCCACUGGGCAAAUGCUAUAAAGACAAUGGUGAGGUGGCAGCGUGGCCAAAUGGACAUUUCAAAGCCGAGAACAAAGGUCUGAACGUAAAUACCUUAGAAGUAAAUAGAGUAAAGCUUAUUACCGAUUAUGGAACAUCUCAACUUAUAGAACAGAAGUGUGCUCCAAAGUGCACUGUGUACGAAGAAUUAUUUUACUAAAUGUUUAUUUUGGAGAAAUAAUCUCUUUAUAAGUAAUCACAUCUGAAAGAAUGUGAUGGUUAAAUUCAGAAUUUUAUACAUUAAAUUUUCUUACAUAAGGUCAAGGUCUUCAUUGGUGAGGUCUGCAGCUAAAGAUGGAUGCACCCGGACUUCAGCAUUCAUCUCUCCUCCUUCAUAAUAACACAGGGAGCACAGCUAACCGCAGUCUGCAGAUCACCUAAUUAUCCCCACACCAUGCUAGUUCUCCCAAAUGGCUGCACUUAUUGUUUUGAUUUUUAUCUCUAUUUCCCCCGCCUCUUCUCUCGUUCAAGUACAAAGCAAUAGCAAAGGCCUGGCCAAAAGCCAAUUAGUCUGAGUGAGGAGGAGGAGGAAGGAGAGGUUUGGUUAAGCAUCCAGUGAGCUAACCUGGCCUUGAGUCAUUAGGAGACUUUCCACGUAAGAGCCCAACAAAUUGACCUUCAGGCAUACCUGCUUAACUGAUAAAGUAAAGUGUAGGACCAGCCCUCAUUUUUUUACCUAAAUGUUGAAUAAAAUCAUUGGAAGAAUGGGCACCUAUAUAAUUCUGAUGAGCAACAUGGUAUAGUGAAAAAUUUUAUGGGACCAAGUAUUAUGAGAUGUGAAUUCUGGUCCCAAUUCUGCCAUGAAAUCGCUGGCGGACAGUGUGCAAGUCACAUGGCCUCUCUGGACCUCAGUUUCUUCAUCUGUGAAAUUAGAGUGUUCCAUGAGAUAAUCUCUAAGAUCCCUUUCGGUUUUAAGGUCCAGAUUCUAUUGGUUCUCCUUUAAGCUAAAAUAGCUCUUUGUGAACCUGGAAAUAACUCCAAGAUUCGUUUCUCUCCUUUCCCCAAUUUUUGGAGCAAGCUAACAUGAAACAGUACCAUUAGUGAUACCGCAAUUAAUAGUUCCUCAUUCUUAUACUGAGUGGGAAUCUCACACUAUAUCCAUCAUUCAAAGACAUGUCUGGGUGCAUGUACAGAAAUAAUGGAAUGGCAAAAUGAAAGUUUAUUUGCAUGAAGUCUGAGGAGACUCUUGCUAAAAGGUUAUUCCAUGGGGCGGAAAGAAUUGUGCAAAGUUGGCCCAAUUAGAAAACCUUAGUUUUAGAGGGGCAAGAGAUUCUGACAGCGUGGUGUCUGAUACUUGACUUUGCCUACCAGCCUAGCCCCCCAAGACUCUCAGUCUACCUACAGAAUGUAACCCCUAAAGUGGAGAGCGGCAUUCUUUAGCUUUGUGUAGUUUAAGCCCCUUGAGAACACAAAUAGAUCUGCAGAGGUGGAGAAAUGUGGUAUUUCCUGGCUGAAGUGAGUGCGUGGAAGCCAUACCUAUGUAGGCAACUGUCAUGGCAGAGGCCAAUGCGGGCAUUGCUCACCCGGAGAGGCGGGGACUCCAGCAGGCAAGAUGGGGAAACAGACUAAAUCUGGAUCAAAGUUACACAUUCCCCAACUCCAAGAGAAGGCACACAGAUGGGGAUUUUUUUGUGAGUCGAUGUAACAUGUCCCUGGGAACUUCUAGCUACAAAAGUAGGGGAGAGGGGUGGGAAGUAGUUAGUCUAGAGGGCUAAAAAUGAAGUGGAAGUGUGACCCAACAAAAUUGAGCUUUAGUUGUGAUUUUUUAAUUCACAGUUUUGCCAUAAUAGUAUUAUUUUCGCAAAGAAAAUCAUAGGAAAGGAGCUAUAAUUAUUAAUCAAAUUCACAGUGUGAGUAUUAGAGGGGGAUAUCUGCAUGUAAGUAAUAACUGAAAGAAAAUCACAGAAUACCUUCUCUACUUCUCAGCUGAGACAGCAGAGAACGAUAGGGAUUCCCUGGUCUCUCCUCAGAACCAGGAGACCCUUCUCAGAUUCGCCUCUGCCUUUCUCCCCAACUCUGAAUUCCCUAAUUUUGCCUCUGUCCAUCUGUACCGAGAUGUUACAAUAUUACCUUGAAAAUGUUUUUCUCAUGUAUAUCAUGCAAAGAACCAUCUUAUUCAAUUAGGCAUUUUGGGUAUUGAGGAUUUUGGAUAAACUUAGUCCCUAACUUCAAAAAUAUUUUAAGUCAUAAUUUAUAUUUUAGGGAAACAUAUCAAGAAGAAAUGUGAUGACUGCAAGAUAUAAUUGCAGACCUACUUAUUAUAAUAAUGGAGUAAAGAUUCCUGGAAGAUCCACUGCAUGUGUUUAGAAGGAACGUUAAAUAGUGAAAUUAGGAUUAUCUUCCAUAUAGUUGAUGUUAUGAUAUAUUUUAUAGCUAUGGCGUCUCUUUCUCUCUCUUCUUCAACCUAGCCAUCCUUUUCCCAUUCCCCAUCUUUCUCUAGGAAAAUCUUUCCAUAAUAUCACCUGACAUUUUGCCGAGGCUCUAGGUCUUAUCCACACUAAAGAUGACUUCCAUAGACUUUUGAGGCGUCUAAGUGGCCCACACUACAUCCGUCAUCUUUCUAUUAAGGUCAACUGGUUGCAGGAUCCCCUGCAUCUGUGCUCAGGAGCUGGAGUAAAAGGGCAGCUCCAACGUUCCCAUUCCUGUUAAACCUUCUGUGAUCCCCCAGCCAGAGAUUACCAAUCCCUUCUCUCUUAUUCAUCCCGUUUCUAUUUUUUCAGUCAAUCUUUUUUUCAACAAUUUCUUUUUUAAGAUUGGCCCUGAGCUAACAUCUGUUGCCAAUCUUCUUUCUUUUUUUGUUCUUCUUCUCCCUGCCAAAGCCCCCCAUUACAUAGUUGUAUAUUCUAGCUGUAGGUUGUUUUAGUUGAGCCAUGUGAGACGCUGCCUCAG
rnacentral:lncRNA from 1 species